UACGAAGGGGGCUAGCGUUGCUCGGAAUUACUGGGCGUAAAGCGCACGUAGGCGGUCUUUUAAGUCGGGGUUGAAAUCCUGGAGCUCAACUCCAGAACUGCCUUCGAUACUGGAAGACUCGAGUCCGGGAGAGGUGAGUGGAACUGCGAGUGUAGAGGUGAAAUUCGUAGAUAUUCGCAAGAACACCAGUGGCGAAGGCGGCUCACUGGCCCGGUACUGACGCUGAGGUGCGAAAGCGUGGGGAGCAAACAGG
rnacentral:rRNA from 1 species